UACGUAGGGGGCAAGCGUUGUCCGGAAUGACUGGGCGUAAAGCGCGCGCAGGCGGUCUUUUAAGUCUGAGGUGAAAGGCUGGGGCUCAACCCUGGCAUCGCCUUGGAAACGGGAAGACUUGAGGACUGGAGAGGCAAGGGGAAUUCCACGUGUAGCGGUGAAAUGCGUAGAGAUGUGGAGGAAUACCAGUGGCGAAGGCGCCUUGCUGGACAGUGCCUGACGCUGAGGCGCGAAGGCGUGGGGAGCAAACAGGAUUAGAUACCCUGGUAGUCCACGCGGUAAACGAUGAGUGCUAGGUGUCGGAGGGUACCACCUCCGGUGCCGAAGGAAACCCAAUAAGCACUCCGCCUGGGGAGUACGGUCGCAAGACUGAAACUCAAAGGAAUUGACGGGGGCCCGCACAAGCAGUGGAGCAUGUGGCUUAAUUCGAAGCAACGCGAAGAACCUUACCAGGACUUGACAUCCCCCUGACGGGAGUAGAGAUAUUCCGUCCCUUCGGGGCAGGGGAGACAGGUGGUGCAUGGUUGUCGUCAGCUCGUGUCGUGAGAUGUUGGGUUAAGUCCCGCAACGAGCGCAACCCUUGAUCAGUGUUACCAGCACGUAAAGGUGGGGACUCACUGAUGACUGCCGGUGAUAAACCGGAGGAAGGCGGGGAUGACGUCAAAUCAUCAUGCCCCUUAUGUCCUGGGCCACACACGUGCUACAAUGGGCGGUACAACGGGAAGCAAGAGAGCGAUCUGGAGCGAAACCCUAAAAGCCGUUCGUAGUUCGGAUUGCAGGCUGCAACCCGCCUGCAUGAAGCCGGAAUUGCUAGUAAUCGCGGAUCAGCAUGCCGCGGUGAAUCCGUUCCCGGGCCU
rnacentral:rRNA from 1 species